AUUUGACAAAGCUAUGCAAGACACACUAUUAUCACCAUUCACAUUCCACCGACCAUCCCAUCCCUGUUCAGGAGGAGUUGUUCUGGGAUUUUCAUGGUUUCUAAAUCUAACUAAAUAGUAAACUUUUCCUAGAGAAGGUAAGCUUAGGAUCAUGUUCUUUCUCAGUUGUUGAGUAUUUGUUUUGUGUUAUGAUAGGUGAAAUUGCACCUGUUUCUCACUCUUAGUUUUCAUGUGUGUAUUUAUAUAAAAGUUUCUUUUGAAAAUUUAGAAUCAUAUCAACAGAUCCUUAUGUUACUUAAAUUCUUCCAUGCAGUUUUGAGAGUCCAUUUUUGCUUGGGUAGUAUGAUAUAUCCUCUUGUUUAUUAGGGAAUGCAAGAGGUCCGAUUAAAUUAAGGCAGUAGAAAUCCUUAGCAGUUUAUGCAAAAUCUUUUGUCUGAGACUACAAUUAUGGGCAGACAAACCAAUCUAUAAUUCUGUGAGAAUUGCUCACCAUGUCUUCUCCUUACAAUGAACCUUACAUUUUUUUAAAAGAAAAUUAUAUGCUAAAGUUUUUUUACUUGAGACAUGUUAAUUAGACUUGUUGUGACCUGGUUUAUUGGUUUUAAGUUUGUGUUCUAAAUUUGGUGAGGUACUUUCUUCAGAGUAUACAGUGAUGAAAGAUUCGAGUUCGACUACAAAAUUUUUGAAGUGUUUUUAUUUUGUGGUGUACUACUUUUAUAUAUUUGCUUCACUUUUUAGUUAAUAUUUUAGAAAUGUUUUGUAUUGCACUUAAUUACUAAUGUAAUGAUAUUAAUAUUUUGUCAAUAUUUGUUUUGGUAAUA